GAACGAAGCACUUAAGUGAAUUUCUUCGGAAUGAAGCUUUUGUGACUGAGUGGCGGACGGGUGAGUAACGCGUGGGUAACCUGCCUCAUACAGGGGGAUAACAGUUAGAAAUGACUGCUAAUACCGCAUAAGCGCACAGCUUCGCAUGAAGCAGUGUGAAAAACUCCGGUGGUAUGAGAUGGACCCGCGUCUGAUUAGCUAGUUGGUGGGGUAACGGCUCACCAAGGCGACGAUCAGUAGCCGACCUGAGAGGGUGACCGGCCACAUUGGGACUGAGACACGGCCCAAACUCCUACGGGAGGCAGCAGUGGGGAAUAUUGCACAAUGGGGGAAACCCUGAUGCAGCGACGCCGCGUGAAGGAAGAAGUAUUUCGGUAUGUAAACUUCUAUCAGCAGGGAAGAAAAUGACGGUACCUGACUAAGAAGCCCCGGCUAACUACGUGCCAGCAGCCGCGGUAAUACGUAGGGGGCAAGCGUUAUCCGGAUUUACUGGGUGUAAAGGGAGCGUAGGCGGCGAUGCAAGUCAGAAGUGAAAGCCCGGGGCUCAACUCCGGGACUGCUUUUGAAACUGUAUUGCUAGAUUGCAGGAGAGGUAAGUGGAAUUCCUAGUGUAGCGGUGAAAUGCGUAGAUAUUAGGAGGAACACCAGUGGCGAAG
rnacentral:rRNA from 1 species